AGGGCACCACCAGGAGUGGAGCCUGCGGCUUAAUUUGACUCAACACGGGGAAACUUACCCGGCCUGGACACUGGAAGGAUUGACAGAUUGAGAGCUCUUUCUUGAUUCAGUGGGUGGUGGUGCAUGGCCGUUCUUAGUUGGUGGAGCGAUUUGUCUGGUUAAUUCCGAUAACGAACGAGACUCUAGCCUAUUAAAUAGGCUCUCGGCUUUUAAACGCCGGGAGGACUUCUUAGAGGGACAGGUGGCGGUUCAGCCGCACGAAAGAGAGCAAUAACAGGUCUGUGAUGCCCUUUGUUGUCCGGGGCCGCACGCGCGCUACACUGAAGAGAUCAGCGUGCUUUACGUUCCUGCUCCGACCGGAGUGGGGAACCCAGUGAACCUUCUUCGUGAUUGGGAUAGAAGAUUGUAAUUAUUCUUCUUGAACGAGGAAUUCCCAGUAAAUGCGAGUCAUAAGCUCGCGUUGAUUACGUCCCUGCCCUUUGUACACACCGCCCGUCGCUACUACCGAUUGAACGGUUU
rnacentral:rRNA from 1 species